rnacentral:lncRNA from 1 species
AAAAAAUUUUUACCAUAUGGAUCUGUGAGACUGUGACCAAAAGCAAUCUAAUAUUUGUGUAAUUGGAAUUCCUGACGGGGAGGAGAAAGAGGGUGAAACUGACAGAGAAAUUGUUGAAAUAAUGGCUGAAAUUUUCCAAAUUUAGCAAAAGACAUAAAUCUUAACAAACUUAAAAGAAUUGGAAUCUUACAAAAUGUGUUUUCUAACCAAAUUGAAAUUAAACUAGAAAUUAAUAACAAGAAAAUUUCCAAACACAGAAAUUACACACACUUCUAAAUAUUAUGGGUCAAAAAGGAAAUCUUGGUAGAAAUA